CAGCAAACGCUCAGGAAAGAUAAGCACAUGAAGGAGGAAAGGGAAAACAGAGAGACAGAGUGGUGGCUACGGCUCUUGGCUGAGGGGCAGACGGAGGAUGUCAGUGCUGAAAAGUUCCAGAUGCCGUGUUUUUCUGAGUCCAGAGGGAGUUCUGGUGUUUAAAUGAUUUGAAAACAGCCGGGCUUUAGUUCAGGAGUGAGAAUGGACAGAGAGAGAAAUACAGCGAGGCAGAGAAAAAUCAUUGCUCAUGGCAGUUGUACAAUAUAUGGCCACAAGAGCAAACAGACAGGAAACAAAGUAAGACAUCGAAUGCAAGUACAGCACACGUGGACAGUUCAGAUCCAGGAGGGUCACAGCAUCACACGACUUAACGGUUUACCUCCACUGCUGUCUAACACCCCAUUAGCUGAUGAGUUGAAUCAGCUGCAGAGGGGUAGAGCCGGUUGGCACGGUGCCUGGUCCAUGUCAUGCCAAUUAAGUUCAGCGGCUAAAAGUCUUCCAUCUGGGAUCGUCGCCGGCUCCUGACAGCAUUAACCCUUCCCCGAACACACACACACACACACACACACACACACACACACUGUGUAAACAUGUCUUUCCUUCCUCACGCUGACUCCAGCCCUGUAACACAUCCACUUCACACACCCCCACACACUAGCUCACUCUCACCCUCUCACGCUCUUCCUCCUUCUCUCGCACCCAAUUUACUUUUAUUUUGGUCACAUAUACUCCUUAUUCCUUGGGUGGAGGGUUACAGGAGAUGAGUCAAUGGCUAAAAAAGUUUCAGGUUUGACAUUCUCG
ensembl:lncRNA